rnacentral:snoRNA from 1 species
AUGCAUCUAUUUGACAGACCUGGAGUAGUUACUGUUGGCUGCUAGGUUUUCCCUACAGAUGCAUGAAAAUCUUGUCUUGCAUUUUCUGUCUGAUUAUGGCAGCCAAGGUUGAAGGGGGGAAUAUAGGA